UAGAACUGUAAAUAAAUUUUCUUGAUUAGUAUUAGUUAUGUUCUUGAAAAUUAAAAGAUUUGGCGGUAUUUUAGUCAGUUCAGAGGAACCUGUUCUAUAAUUGAUAGUCCACGAUAAGAAUAACUUAUUUUUUUAGCUUGUAUAUCGUUGUUUAUGAAUUUCUUUUUUGGGAUAAUUUUCAAUUGUUUAAAUAUAAAUAAAUUUCAGAUCAAGGUGCAGCUUAUGAAUAAGUAGAAAUGGGUUACAAUAAAAAUAUAUUUGGUUAUUUAAUUAUAAUUUUAAAUAUAAAUUGGAUUUGAUUGUAAUUAUGAAUAAUUUUUUAUAAUGAUCAAUGUUCUGAAAUAUGU
rnacentral:rRNA from 1 species